UGUGUGUUGAACGAUUGGGAGUGGAGGGCAGCGCUGUUAAUUUUCGCUCGCCACUGAUGUACAUCGUGGCUGGAAAUCAAACUCUGGCCAACCGGGUUUGUAGCACUUCGCGUUAACCACUGUGGUACCACUCUGCCUGAGACCAUCACACGCUCGCUCUCAGGAGGGAACCGAGCGCACAAACACGUGCUCGCAGAAGUCAAGCGUGGUAAACAUCUCGCUCUGAAAGUCACUGCACGUGGGAGCGGCUUGCAGCUCGGUCGCCAUGGUUACGGAAGAGAAGGAGGAAGAGGAGGACGACAUGCAGACGAAUGGGACAGCUCACGAUGGAACUGCUGCUUUGUGAACAGAGGCAGAACUUUGUUCAGCGUCUCCAUUCAUAAAUAAAAUCAUGUUUUAGUCUAUAAAACGUAUGGCUUUACAAACCUUAAUUAUGAACCAAUUACCGUACAACGUAAUUAACGUAACAGCCCUUAUAUACAGUGCUCCGUAUAUUAAAUUUUCCAAAUGCAUUGUAAGCUGUUUAAAAUAAAUAAUAAAUCCAUUAUACUUCUAUCGACCCCUCUCUACAAAAAACAUAUUUUUGGCCAUUAGAUAAUUAUCAGUCCAACGCUAUCCAGCAAGAUUUAUUUAAGCAAGUAAGUUCGGACUUCUGGGUUUGUAGUCAGCCUUGGUAAAUUCCACUGCUGUUGCGGCUGGAUAUUGUUUGGCAAAAGGACCCCAUCCAAAUGAUGGAGGGCUAUCUUCGACGCAACAACAAUAAAAUCAAUCUCGUAU